CCUACGGGCGGCAGCAGUGAGGAAUAUUGGUCAAUGGCCGGAAGGCUGAACCAGCCAUGCCGCGUGAAGGUCAGUGCCCUAUGGGCGUUAAACUUCUUUUGUGCGGGAGCAAUAAUGGUCACGUGUGGCCAGACGAGAGUACCGUACGAAUAAGCAUCGGCUAACUCCGUGCCAGCAGCCGCGGUAAUACGGGGGAUGCAAGCGUUAUCCGGAUUUAUUGGGUUUAAAGGGUGCGUAGGCUGGGAGGUAAGUCAGCGGUGAAAUGCCCCCGCUCAACGGGGUGAAGUGCCAUUGAUACUGCCUGGCUGGAAUGCGGAUGCGGUGGGAGGAAUGUGUGGUGUAGCGGUGAAAUGCAUAGAUAUCACACAGAACACCGAUUGCGAAGGCAUCUCACGAAUCCGCGAUUGACGCUGAUGCACGAAAGCGUGGGUAUCAAACAGGAUUAGAUACCCUUGUAGUC
rnacentral:rRNA from 1 species